AGUGAACGCUGGCGGUAGGCCUAACACAUGCAAGUCGAACGGCAGCACAGUAAGAGCUUGCUCUUACGGGUGGCGAGUGGCGGACGGGUGAGGAAUACAUCGGAAUCUACUUUUUCGUGGGGGAUAACGUAGGUAAACUUACGCUAAUACCGCAUACGACCUACGGGUGAAAGCAGGGGAUCUUCGGACCUUGCGCGAUUGAAUGAGCCGAUGUCGGAUUAGCUAGUUGGCGGGGUAAAGGCCCACCAAGGCGACGAUCCGUAGCUGGUCUGAGAGGAUGAUCAGCCACACUGGAACUGAGACACGGUCCAGACCCCUACGGGAGGCAGCAGUGGGGAAGAUUGGACAAUGGGCGCAAGCCUGAUCCAGCCAUACCGCGUGGGUGAAGAAGGCCUUCGGGUUGUAAAGCCCUUUUGUUGGGAAAGAAAAGCAGCAGGUUAAUACCACGCUGUUCUGACGGUACCCAAAGAAUAAGCACCGGCUAACUUCGU
rnacentral:rRNA from 1 species